UGUGUUUCUGCUUGGAUGCCUGCUGAGCCUUGCUCUGGCAAAUCCUAAUGACUCAGCACACGAGCGCGAUGCACGUUCUUCAUCUGGGGAGGGGAGUUUUGGGACCCUAAAUCGUCUUACCCUGCUACUACCUCUUCUACAGAAUCCAACACUUCUGCAGAAUUCAACGCUCCUUGCUUUGCUUCUUGCUGCUAUACGAUAAGCUGCUCCUU